rnacentral:rRNA from 1 species
ACUGCGAGUGAAGCGGGAAAAGCUCAAAUUUAAAAUCUGGCGGUCUCUGGCCGUCCGAGUUGUAAUCUAGAGAAGUGAUGCCCGCGCUGGACCGUGUACAAGUCUCCUGGAAUGGAGCGUCAUAGAGGGUGAGAAUCCCGUCUCUGACACGGACUACCAGGGCUUUGUGGUAUGCUCUCAAAGAGUCGAGUUGUUUGGGAAUGCAGCUCAAAAUGGGUGGUAAAUUCCAUCUAAAGCUAAAUAUUGGCGAGAGACCGAUAGCGAACAAGUACCGUGAGGGAAAGAUGAAAAGAACUUUGGAAAGAGAGUUAAACAGUACGUGAAAUUGCUGAAAGGGAAACGCUUGAAGUCAGUCGCGUUGGCCGGGGAUCAGCCUCGCUCUUUUGCGUGGUGUACUUUCUGGUUGACGGGUCAGCAUCAAUUUUGACCGCUGGAAAAAGGCUUGAGGAAUGUGGCAGCUCCGGCUGUGUUAUAGCUUCAUGUCRCAUACAGCGGUUGGGAUUGAGGAACUCAGCACGCCGCAAGGCCGGGUUUCGACCACGUCCGUGCUUAGGAUGCUGGCAUAAUGGCUUUAAGCGACCCGUCUUGAAACACGGACCAAGGAGUCUAACAUGCCUGCRAGUGUUUGGGUGGAAAACCCGAGCGCGUAAUGAAAGUGAAAGUUGAGAUCCCUGUCGUGGGGAGCAUUGACGCCCGGACCAGAACUUUUGGGACGGAUCCGCGGUAGAGCAUGUAUGUUGGGACCCGAAAGAUGGUGAACUAUGCCUGAAUAGGGCGAAG